UCACGCCUGAGGAAAUGUUCUAGUGCUUGUGUACCUUACCUGAAGGAAGUUCUCCCAUCUAAGGAAUCUUAGCUCUUUCCAUAAAAAGCAAAGGAAAAACAAACUCAGCCUCACAGAUUUCUUACACAAGACACUGAAUCAGAGAAUGGAUCAAUGCUCAGGGCUGAGCAGUCACCUGUGCCUGCACAGAAGAAACCUGCCCUUACGUUUGCAAUUACUUUGGUAGGAGAACAUGAUGUAACUAAAUUUUAAAGUGCAAACCGUUGUUUUAGACUGUGUGAAAAUGAGUUUUGGAGCAGAAAGAGUUUAUGUUCUGAAUAUGAGAUGUCAAAUUGCAUAACCUGAAACUUACUGUUAAUUAAAAUGGGUUCUGCUGUAGUUGCUAUAACUACCUGGGUCAUAACAAAUAGCUUGUUAUGCAAUUUCCAAUACAUAUCUGUUUACCAAGUUAAGAACUUAAUGCAGUUUUAUAACAGGUUCACUGAUUCUGUACAAAAGCCUUGAUUUACAGCAGUAGUGACAUGAGGUAAGAGUUAUAAACCUCUCCACAGUGUGGAGACUUAUAUAGGCAAAAGAAGCCUUAAGCUGCUUAUACGAUACCAGUUACAAAGACCAUAACAAAAGGCUUCGUCGGUAAGAUUAUCUGUAUCAUGCAGAUAAACAACACAGCUGCCCCUUCUGCACACUAGCUUAUUUUAAGGGCAGAGUUUAAGGAAAACGGAAUCUUUAGAUAGGAUGCCCAUUUUUAAAUAUGUUUUAAAACCCCUACCCAAAAUGUCAACCAAUCGGAUCUGGGGAGCUACUUGUCCUCAGCAAAUACUCAAGACUGCUCACUCUAAAAAGAGGUGUUCAGAAAAAGGGACAUUAACUGAAUGCCUUUUACAUCAAGCUAAGAAGCUUGCUUUGUCUCGGUUUCCUUACUCAAUUCAUCCAGUUCAAUUCCAUUUAUCACUAUGUGCUGUGUUUGUACUAAGGAAAAUCUUUGUCAGGUACAAUAAGUUGGACUAUCAAGUCUCUUACAAAUAUAUAAUUAAUUGGAGUCUUAAAAGGAAUGAGGAGACCUGUUUAGCAAAAUGAAAAGGUUAUAAAUUAUUUGAAACUGGGGAGGCAAAACCAAGAUGAGCCAACAGAGAUUUGUAAAGAACAAAUCAUGUUAAAAUUGGCUCAUUUCCUUCAGCAACACGGUAUCCAGCUAUGUGGUUAGGGAGAAGAAAUAAGCAUCAUGUACCUUUCCUUUAAAACAUGACAUUAUUUCACAUUACAAUCUUAUAAGCUAGGGAAACAUGGUCUAGAUUGAAUUGCUAUAAACUGGGUGCAAGAGUGGUUCGCUAGUACCUCCCAGAAGACUUGCCAAAUGUUCUCUGUCAAAAUGGAAGCAAAUAUUAAAAGCCUCCCCACGGGGCUUCAGCUUUCAUACAGAUCUGUCCAAUCUUUAAUUAAUGAAAGAAGAGAGGGCAGGCUUCUGUGUAGAAUUAGAGAAAACAUGAAGUCAGGAAGGACUGAAAAUUGGGACUAGCAAUCAAAGAGAACUCAAAAAAGUAGAGAAAUGUUCCAGAAGCAGCUCGGGAGGGAGAAUUACAAGUCGCUAUACUUAGGAACAACCAGCUGCAGAUGUAGCAAGCAGGGAGCAACCAAGUAGACAGCACUCGUCCAGGAAAGGGCCCGAAGGUAAUGUGGUUUUACAUGCUCAAGCAAAAUCGACAGUGUCAUGUUUUCAUGAGACAGGCAGAUGUCACCAUGGUAUGCAUAAACAGAAAUUCAUCCUGAAAAAUAGAUGAAGCAAUCCUCCUGCUCUGCUGAGUGCUUGCAAGACCUCAGCAGGAUACUGAGCCUGCCUCCGGCACUUGGUUUUGGUAAAAGGACAGACCAGCAGAGUUAACCCCAAAGGAAAGAAGGGGUGUGAGGGGUGUGAAGAGGGAGACCUGCAGAGCACUUCUGAAACAACCAGGGUCUCUUCCUCUAGAGAAAGGGGGGUAGAAAGGAAUACCAGGGGAAAUAGUGCUAUCUUUGCCCUCAGGUGGAUAAAGUGCUUUACUGAAAGGAAAGGGAAAAAUUUCUUCUCCAUGCCUGUGCCAGUUAAGGAAAAAAUUACAGGGUUGCCUCACUUGCCCAUCUGCAGUCACUUUUUAAAUAGUUAGGAUAGUGAGCAAUCAAUUUGGUCAAACUUCUGUCAAAAAAUGACACUAAUAUAUUACUUCACCACUUUGAUGAAAGACUGAUUUCUGAAGGUCCCUCUCAGCCAGAUGUUUUUAAUACAGUAUAUAGACACAUACUGCCUAAAGUUUGUCUGUAACAUAUAUAAUUCAUUAUUGAAAAAUUAAUUUUCAAAUGAUUGGAUGACACCACCAAUGCUUUGCAGUCAAAUAGGACUGACUCAUAACCUUUGCUUAAAACACAGACAAAAAGGGAUAUGAAAAAACUCUGUAUUAGGAGUAGGUAUUUAUGCAAAAUUACACUCAUUAUUCUUUUCAUUUAUUUACUAAUUGUUAAAAUAGUCUGGUAAAAAGACACUAAGAGUAGGCAUAAGUAUUAAGCUGGGUAUUUAACCUCAAAGUGAUACUGUGUAAACAGAUGCAUUGUAAAUAUUUAAAAUUCUAUGAUUAAGCCUCACAUUAACCCUUAUUAACAGACUUUGAGUGCAUAGAACAAGAAUAUUACCCAUACUCCUUCCCUAAGCAAUGUCCUGUUAGAAAGAAUGUUGAUAAGCCCAACCUCAGAAAAAAAAGUGUGUAAUCUUUUUCUGCCUGUUUCUGCAGUGUGGGUCACUGGGUUACAUGCUCGAAGCUGAACUGGAAUUAGUUAUUUUAUUUAUGAAUACUGUGUGCAUAUCAUUUCAUUGCUAUGAAACAGUGAAAGAUGCAAAGUAUUAAAGAGUUCUAUGUUCCAGAUUUACAAUAAGUAUCUCAGGUGGCUGGAGGGGAGUUCCCAUAACAAUCACCAGAGAGGUUUGCAGAUGUGAUUUUUCCAUGCCUUUUUUAAAAUAUGCAAAUGGAAACACAAAUAUUUUAAGGUUCUUAAACUUUAUUCUGCCUGUAUGUGAGAGAAUUAACUGUUCAUAAAAUUCUUACAUUUUACAAGAUUCAUUUUCCAGAAGGAAUUCUGAAUUAUACAGUUUAGUGCAUAAAGUUUUGUUUUUUUUUUUUUUGACAAAGGCAAUUAUAGUGGUUAGCUGGUUAGUUCUCUUGAGUACAUAUGCCUCUAAUGUUCAUACAAGCUUAUUUCAGAUAUUGAGAAACAGCAUAGGGCCUCAUGCUUAUAUUAUUGCUGAGACAUCAAAGUACCUUUUCGUCCCAGGCCUUGGAAAAAAAGUCCAGGUAUAGUGGGUUGACCUUGGCUGGGUUACAAGUGCCACCAAGCCUAUCAUUCCCCUUCCCAGCAGGACAGAGGAGAGAAAAUAAGAUGGGAAAUGACUAGUAAGGUGCGAUAAGGCAGUUUACUAAAGGAAGAAAAAGAAAAGCGAAUGCUUGUGAACACAUAAGCAAAGGGGAAAAAAAUUAAUCUCCAGGUUGAUGCAAGUACAGACCCACCAUCAGUGAAAGAAGAGUAUAAGCACUGUUGCAAGAACUUGACCCCUACGAGUCAAUGGGCCCUGGCAAUAUCCACACGCGGGUGUCGAGAGAGCUGGCGGAUGUCAUUGAGAGGCUGCUCUACAUAAUGGUUGAAAAGUCAUGGAUAUCAGGGGAUGCCCCAGAAGUCUGGAAGAAGGCUAAUGUCACUGCCAUCAAGAAGAAGGGCUUAAAGUAGGAUCAAGGAAAUUACAGAGCAAGGGAAUCCUCCAGGGGGCGAACACAAGUCAGAUGAAGCACAUGAUUGGAAAAAACCAGCUUAGAUUCACCCAGGGGCAAAUCAUCCUUGACAAACCUGAUCACCUCUCUGACAAAGUAACCUGCUCAGCUGAUGUGGGACUAGUCAUGGACACUGUCUACCUGAAUUUCUCCAAGACUUUCUCUAUAGUGUUCUACAGCCCCCUCCUAGAGCAAAUGAUGUGUUAUGGUCUAGAUGAGUGGUCCAUGCACUGGGUGGGAAACUCCUGGCAAGCAGCACCCACUGGGUUGUGGUAAAUGGCUCCUUUCCAAACUGGCAACCUGUCACAAGUGGUCUAUACUGGGUCCAACGCUGUUUGAUAUCUCCAUAAGCAACCUGGAAGAUGGGAUAAGCUCACAAAGUUUGCUGAGGGUACCAAACCAAGUGAGAGUGUAGAGCUUCUUCUUUGGAAGGAAGAGCUACACCGCAGGAAGUCCUAGAUAGACUGGGUUAAGGACCUUAUGAAGUUCAACAAGGACAAGUGUAGUCUUACAACUGGGAAAAUAUAACCCAGGAGAGCAACAGGCUGGGAUAUACCAAGCUGGGGAACAGCUCUAUGGAAAGGUUCUUUGUUAGUCCUGGUGGGAAAACUCGUUGCGAGUGAAUGAUGUGCUGCAGUGGCAAAAAAAAGGAUCUAAGAAGCUGUUGGGUUUUAUCAAAAAAACAUCACUACCAGAGAUAAAGAAGUCGUUGUCCCACUCUACUCAGGGCUUUACAGGCCAUACCUGAAAUACUGUAUUUAGCUUUGGUCCAUGCUGUAUGAAAAAAGGCUGAUGAAAAUCCAGGGAAGGGUGUCAGAAAUGAGUAUUUUAAGGUCCCUUAAAGACUCACUGACAGAGUUAUCAACAAAACCAGAUUUUAUAUGAGAGCAACAGGACUGGGAAGUCUGCCAUGUGAAGAAAGGUUGUGAGAGCUGGGUUUUUUCAGCCUUGAGAAAAGAAGGCUUGGGAAAGACCUUAUCAUCACCUUCCAGUAUUUAAAAGCUGUGUACAAAGAAGAUGGAGAAUACCUCUUUCAAAGAGUCGAUUAGCCACUGGAAUAAUCUCAGGGAAGCGGUGGAUUCCCCAGUAUUGGAUACCUUUAAGAUUCAUCUGGACAGGGUGCUGGGCCAGCCUAUCUAGACCACGUUUUUUCCAAGAAAGUUUGGACCAAGUGAUCCUUCUCUUCCAACCUGUUAAUCUAUGACUCUAUGAUUUUCCUGCUUCCUCUGGAACAUUUACCAAUGGACAGCUCUUUGAUCCGCACUGAUAAAUGUGUCAUGGCCGGGAAGCAGAAAACUGUGGAGAUCCUGAAGUCAGAAAUGAGAACUCUCACAAGAGGAAAAGGUGGAGAACCUGGGAUGGGAGGUUGGCCUUCUACACUGCGAGGAGUAUGAUGCUGACAGUGGGUUUUCUCCUGCUCCCUGCUCUAAGGACCUCCUCAAGUCACAGACAGUCGCUCUGCCAGCAGGGGCUCAGCGAGGAAGACCCAGGCAUGAUCACCUGGCACAGACUCAGGUGCUGCAAUGAAGAGGAUGGAAAAACUUUUAUGGAGAAGUUGUUACAGGGACCAUGACUACAGGGCUCUUGUCAGCCACAGUGGAGCUGCUGUUGUGGACAAAAGCCACAAAACUGCUUUGGGAAGUGCUUCUUUGAAAAAGCAAGGCUGUGGAUUAACUCACCUUCCCCUGAGAGAAUGUACCUCUUUACAACCAAAAUCUUUCUUGAGAGGUCACUGACGAAUUCGGGCUAUUACCCAGUGGUGUUGUUUUCACGGUUGCUGGCCACUAGUAUGUGAAUUUUUGUAAAUAUGGGCUCUGCCUAAGGACCGUAGUGGUGAAGUCUCCUAACCCAAGAGUAGAGAAGAAAGAUUGCAGAGGCAGUUCUAUAUAACUUUGUUUGAGAACAAUUUUACCUGAAAGUAAAGCAUAUUUUAAUGUGACUGCCUUCAAAACUGACUUGUAUUACACUUAUUUCCCCACUUUUCCGACUGAAAAUAAAAAAGUCACAGUUAAUCAACAGUUAA